UACGUAGGGGGCAAGCGUUGUCCGGAUUUAUUGGGCGUAAAGAGCGUGUAGGCGGCCGCACAGGUCCGUUGUGAAAACUGGAGGCUUAACCUUCAGACGUCGAUGGAAACCGUGCGGCUAGAGUCCGGAAGAGGAGAAUGGAAUUCCUGGUGUAGCGGUGAAAUGCGCAGAUAUCAGGAAGAACACCCGUGGCUAAGGCGGUUCUCUAGUACGGUACUGACGCUGAGACGCGAAAGCGUGGGGAGCGAACCGG
rnacentral:rRNA from 1 species